rnacentral:rRNA from 1 species
CCUACGGGUGGCUGCAGUGGGGAAUAUUGCACAAUGGGGGGAACCCUGAUGCAGCGACGCCGCGUUGGUGAGGAAGUACUUCGGUAUGUAAAGCCCUAUCAGCCGGGAAGAAAAUGACGGUACCUGACUACGAAGCCCCGGCUAUCUACGUGCCAGCAGCCGCGGUACUACGUAGGGGGCAAGCGUUAUCCGGAUUUACUGGGGGUAAUGGGAGCGUAGACGGCGUGCCAAGUCUGCUGUGAAAGGCCGGGGCUCAACCCCGGGACUGCAUUGGAAACUGGCAUGCUGGAGUGCCGGAGGGGCAAGCGGAAUGCCUGGUGUAGCGGUGAAAUGCGUAGAUAUUAGGAGGAACACCGGUGGCGAAGGCGGCUUGCUGGACGGUAACUGACGUUGAGGCACGAAAGCGUGGGGAGCAAACAGGAUUAGAUACCCCGGUAGUC